AGAGUUUGAUCCUGGCUCAGGAUGAACGCUGGCGGCGUGCCUAAUACAUGCAAGUCGAACGAGGUGCUUUUGUAGCAAUACGAGAGUAUCCUAGUGGCGAACGGGUGAGUAACGCGUUGGUGACCUACCCCAAAGUGUGGAAUAACAGUCCGAAAGGAUUGCUAAUACCGCAUGUGGUUAUUGGAUCUAGAAACCGAUAACUAAAGGAGCAAUUCGCUUUGGGAGGGACCUGCGUCCCAUCAGCUAGUUGGUGAGGUAAUGGCUCACCAAGGCUACGACGGGUAGGGGACCUGAGAGGGUGACCCCCCACAAUGGAACUGAAACACGGUCCAUACACCUACGGGUGGCAGCAGUAGGGAAUAUUGCACAAUGGGCGAAAGCCUGAUGCAGCAACGCCGCGUGUGCGAUGAAGGCCUUCGGGUCGUAAAGCACUUUUCUGGGAGAUGAGAAAGGACAGUAUCUCAGGAAUAAGUCUCGGCUAACUACGUGCCAGCAGCCGCGGUAAAACGUAGGAGGCGAGCGUUAUCCGGAUUCACUGGGCGUAAAGCGCGUGCAGGUGGCUUGGUAAGUUAGGCGUGAAAUCUCCCGGCUCAACUGGGAGAGGUCGUCUAAUACUACCGGGCUAGAGAGCAGAAGAGGAAGAUGGAAUUCCCGGUGUAGUGGUGAAAUGCGUAGAUAUCGGGAGGAACACCAGUGGCGAAGGCGAUCUUCUGGUCUGUUUCUGACACUCAGACGCGACAGCUAGGGUAGUAAACGGGAUUAGAGACCCCGGUAAUCCUAGCCGUAAACGAUGUGAACUUGGCGUUGGUGGGUUAAACUCCAUCAGUGCCGCAGCAAACGCGAUAAGUUCACCGCCUGGGGACUACGGCCGCAAGGUUAAAACUUAAAUGAAUUGACGG
rnacentral:rRNA from 1 species